GACGAACGCUGGCGGCGUGCUUAACACAUGCAAGUCGAACGGAAAGGCCCUGCUUUUGUGGGGUGCUCGAGUGGCGAACGGGUGAGUAACACGUGAGUAACCUGCCCUUGACUUUGGGAUAACUUCAGGAAACUGGGGCUAAUACCGGAUAGGAGCUCCUGCUGCAUGGUGGGGGUUGGAAAGUUUCGGCGGUUGGGGAUGGACUCGCGGCUUAUCAGCUUGUUGGUGGGGUAGUGGCUUACCAAGGCUUUGACGGGUAGCCGGCCUGAGAGGGUGACCGGCCACAUUGGGACUGAGAUACGGCCCAGACUCCUACGGGAGGCAGCAGUGGGGAAUAUUGCACAAUGGGCGGAAGCCUGAUACAGCAACGCCGCGUGCGGGAUGAAGGCCUUCGGGUUGUAAACCGCUUUCGCCUGUGACGAAGCGUGAGUGACGGUAAUGGGUAAAGAAGCACCGGCUAACUACGUG
rnacentral:rRNA from 1 species